AAUUUUCGGCAAUGGGGGCAACCCUGACCGAGCGACGCCGCGUGAGUGAAGAAGGUCUUCGGAUUGUAAAGCUCUGUUGUAAGGGAAGAACCGUACCAGUAUGGAAUGUCUGUUACCUGACGGUACUUUACCAGCAAGCCAUGGCUAACUACGUGCCAGCUGCGGCGGUAAUACGUAGGGGGCAAGCGUUGUCCGGAAUUAUUGGGCGUAAAGGGUGCGUAGGCGGCCUUUUAAGUCAGAUGUGAAAGCCCACGGAUUAAACGUGGGACUGCAUUUGAAACUGGAGGGCUUGAGUAUCGGAGAGGGUAGUGGAAUUCCCAGUGUAGCGGUGGAAUGCGUAGAUAUUGGGAGGAACACCAGUGGCGAAGGCGACUACCUGGACGAAAACUGACGCUGAGGCACGAAAGCUAGGGGAGCAAACA
rnacentral:rRNA from 1 species